GACGGAGGAUGCAAGCGUUAUCCGGAAUGAUUGGGCGUAAAGCGUCUGUAGGUGGCUUUUCAAGUCCGCCGUCAAAUCCCAGGGCUCAACCCUGGACAGGCGGUGGAAACUACCAAGCUGGAGUACGGUAGGGGCAGAGGGAAUUUCCGGUGGAGCGGUGAAAUGCGUAGAUAUCAUUUGGAACGCCAAUGGUGAAAACAGGUAGCUGGGGCUGUGCUGACGCUGAGACACGAAAGCCAGGGGAGCAAACGGG
rnacentral:rRNA from 1 species